rnacentral:rRNA from 1 species
UACGGAGGGUGCGAGCGUUGUCCGGAAUCAUUGGGCGUAAAGGGCGCGUAGGCGGGCUGUCGCGUCUGGGGUGAAAUCCUCCGGCUCAACCGGGGAAGGGCCUCGGGUACGGACGGCCUCGAGGGGGGUAGGGGCGUGCGGAACUGUGGGUGGAGCGGUGAAAUGCGUUGAUAUCCACAGGAACUCCGGUGGCGAAGGCGGCACGCUGGACCCCUUCUGACGCUGAGGCGCGAAAGCCAGGGGAGCGAACGGG